UACGAAGGGUGCUAGCGUUGUUCGGAAUCACUGGGCGUAAAGCGCGCGUAGGCGGCCAAUCAAGUCAGAGGUGAAAUCCCACAGCUUAACUGUGGAACUGCCUUUGAAACUGUAUGGCUAGAGUGUCGGAGGGGAUGGCGGAAUUGCUAAUGUAGAGGUGAAAUUCGUAGAUAUUAGCAGGAACACCGGUGGCGAAGGCGGGUCUCUGGGCCGUUACUGACGCUGAGGAGCGAAAGCGUGGGGAGCGAACAGG
rnacentral:rRNA from 1 species